UCCUGGCUCAGGAUUAAUGCUGGUGGUAUGCAUAACACAUGCAAGUCGAACGAAGAGGGUUUACUCUCUUAGUGGCGAACGGGCGAGUAACACAUAUUUAACUUACCUGCACGAGGAGAAUAGCAACUCGAAAGAGUUAUUAAUACUCCAUAGGUUUGAGACUCAAAUUAAAGGGAGCGUUCUGGGAAACUAGAGCUUCGCGAGCAGAGAGGAGUAUGUCCUAUUAGGUUGUUGGUGGGGUAAUUGCCUACCAAGCCGAUGAUGGGUAGCUGGACUGAGAGGUCGACCAGCCGCAAUGGGAUUGAAAUACGGCCCAUAUUCCUACGGGAAGCAGCAGUGAGGAAUUUUUCACAAUGGACGAAAGUCUGAUGGAGCAAUACCAUGUGAACGAUGAAGGUCUUCUGAUUGUAAAGUUCUUUUAUUUAGGAAAAAAAAGCUUGAUAGGAAAUGAUUAAGCCUUGAUUGUACUAAAUGAAUAAGUGACAGCUAACUAUGUGCCAGCAGCUGCGGUAAAACAUAGGUCACGAGCAUUAUCCGGAUUUAUUGGGCGUAAAGGAAGCGUAGGCGGACAAAUUGAUCUAUUGUUAAAGGCACUUGCUCAACGAGUUGUUUGUGAUAGAUAUCGUUUGUCUAGAAUUAGUUAGGAGAUACUGGAAUUCAAUGUGUAGCGGUGGAAUGCGUAGAUAUAUUGAGGAACACCAGAGGCUAAGGCGAGUAUCUAGGACAUAAUUGACGCUGAGGCUUGAAAGCGUGGGGAGCAAAUGGGAUUAGAUACCCCAGUAGUCCACGCCGUAAACGAUGGGUAUUAGGUAUUUGGUCUAGGACUGAGUGCUGUAGCUAACGCGUUAAAUACCCCGCCUGGGUAGUAUAUAUGCAAAUAUGAAACUCAAAGAAAUUGACGGGGACCUGAACAAGUGGUGGAGCAUGUUG
rnacentral:rRNA from 1 species